rnacentral:rRNA from 1 species
GAUCCUGCGCUCAGACUCGAGUACCUUGCUACGUGCUGAGGCGACAGAAGUGUGUCGGACGGGUGAGUAAUGUCUGGGAAACUGCCCGAUGGAGGGGGAUAACUACUGGAAACGGUAGCUAAUACCGCAUAACGUCGCAAGACCAAAGAGGGGGACCUUAGGGCCUCUUGCCAUCGGAUGUGCCCAGAUGGGAUUAGCUUGUAGGUGAGGUAACGGCUCACCUAGGCGACGAUCCCUAGCUGGUCUGAGAGGAUGACCAGCCACACUGGAACUGAGACACGGUCCAGACUCCUACGGGAGGCAGCAGUGGGGAAUAUUGCACAAUGGGCGCAAGCCUGAUGCAGCCAUGCCGCGUGUAUGAAGAAGGCCUUCGGGUUGUAAAGUACUUUCAGCGGGGAGGAAGGGAGUGAGGUUAAUAACCUUAUUCAUUGACGUUACCCGCAGAAGAAGCACCGGCUAACUCCGUGCCAGCAGCCGCGGUAAUACGGAGGGUGCAAGCGUUAAUCGGAAUUACUGGGCGUAAAGCGCACGCAGGCGGUCUGUCAAGUCGGAUGUGAAAUCCCCGGGCUCAACCUGGGAACUGCAUUCGAAACUGGCAGGCUGGAGUCUUGUAGAGGGGGGUAGAAUUCCAGGUGUAGCGGUGAAAUGCGUAGAGAUCUGGAGGAAUACCGGUGGCGAAGGCGGCCCCCUGGACAAAGACUGACGCUCAGGUGCGAAAGCGUGGGGAGCAAACAGGAUUAGAUACCCCUGG